UACGAAGGGGGCUAGCGUUGUUCGGAAUUACUGGGCGUAAAGCGCGCGCAGGCGGCUAUCCAAGUCAGUGGUGAAAGCCCGGAGCUCAACUCCGGAACUGCCAUUGAAACCGUUUAGCUUGAGGACGAGAGAGGUGAGUGGAAUUCCCAGUGUAGAGGUGAAAUUCGUAGAUAUUGGGAAGAACACCGGUGGCGAAGGCGGCUCACUGGCUCGUAUCUGACGCUCAGGCGCGACAGCGUGGGGAUCAAACAGG
rnacentral:rRNA from 1 species